rnacentral:rRNA from 1 species
GACGAACGCUGGCGGCGUGCUUAACACAUGCAAGUCGAACGGAAAGGCCCUGCUUGCCGGGUACUCGAGUGGCGAACGGGUGAGUAACACGUGGGUGAUCUGCCCUGCACUUCGGGAUAAGCUUGGGAAACUGGGUCUAAUACCGGAUAGGAACCAUCUUUAGUGUGGUGGUUGGAAAGUUUUUUCGGUGUAGGAUGAGCUCGCGGCCUAUCAGCUUGUUGGUGGGGUAAUGGCCUACCAAGGCGGCGACGGGUAGCCGGCCUGAGAGGGUGUACGGCCACAUUGGGACUGAGAUACGGCCCAGACUCCUACGGGAGGCAGCAGUGGGGAAUAUUGCACAAUGGGCGCAAGCCUGAUGCAGCGACGCCGCGGGGGGGAUGAAGGCCUUCGGGUUGUAAACUCCUUUCGCUAGGGACGAAGCUUUUUGUGACGGUACCUAGAGAAGAAGCACCGGCUAACUACGUG